rnacentral:tRNA from 1 species
AGGUCAGUAGUUCAAAGGUAGAAUGGCGGUCUCCAAAACCGCAUGUUGGGGGUUCGAGUCCCUCCUGACCUG